CAAUAAGCGGAGGAAAAGAAACCAACAGGGAUUGCCCCAGUAGCGGCGAGCGAAGCGGCAACAGCUCAAAUUUGAAAUCUGGCUCUCGGGCCCGAGUUGUACUUUGGAGAGGAUGCUUCUGGCGCGGCGCCGUCCGAGUUCCCUGGAACGGGACGCCGGAGAGGGUGAGAGCCCCGUACGGGCGGACGCCAAGCCUCUGCGAAGCUCCUUCGACGAGUCGAGUAGUUUGGGAAUGCUGCUCAAAAUGGGAGGUAAAUUUCUUCUAAAGCUAAAUACCGGCCAGAGACCGAUAGCGCACAAGUAGAGUGAUCGAAAGAUGAAAAGCACUUUGAAAAGAGGGUUAAACAGUACGUGAAAUUGUUGAAAGGGAAGCGCCUGUGGCCAGACUUGCGCCCCGCGGACCACCCGGCGCCUCGGCGCCGGGGCACGCCAGCGGGGUGCAGGCCAGCAUCGGCUCUCUCGGGGGGACAAAGGCCGCGGGAACGUAGCGCCCUCGUGGCGUGUUAUAGCCCGCGGUGCCAUGCCCCCAGGGGGGCCGAGG
rnacentral:rRNA from 1 species